rnacentral:rRNA from 1 species
AGCGUAGACGGCAAGGCAAGUCUGAUGUGAAAACCCAGGGCUUAACCCUGGGACUGCAUUGGAAACUGUCUGGCUCGAGUGCCGGAGAGGUAAGCGGAAUUCCUGGUGUAGCGGUGAAAUGCGUAGAUAUUAGGAAGAACACCAGUGGCGAAGGCGGCUUACUGGACGGUAACUGACGUUGAGGCUCGAAAGCGUGGGGAGCAAACA